UUCGGUGGUCAUAGCGUGAGGGAAACGCCCGGUUACUUUCCGAACCCGGAAGCUAAGCCUUAUUGCGCCGAUGGUACUGCGAGGGGGACCUCGUGGGAGAGUAGGACGCCGCCGAAC
rnacentral:rRNA from 2 species